UGCUAUGCACAUUUUGUUCCACUUAGCCUUUGAGAUCACUUUGUAAUGUUAAAAAUCUUUAUAUUAAACGGUUCCACCUUAGGAACUUGUUAAGAAAAUCUACAAGGACAAAGAGACUACAAUGCAUUUGGUGGCACUUUUAAAUGAAUUUAUUUAAAUAACUGUGUUAAUCCGAGAGUACUGAUGUGUAGCUGAAAGUGUCAGUCCACACGUCUGUCCAGCCUGCAAUAAAUACUUGGUUCAAAUCUCGACAGUCAGAAACCACAGGAAGAGAACUACUAUUUUCUCCCUGCUUUUCCUUUUAUUUAUUUAGAUGUCCCUUUUUACAAAAGUCAACGUUUAAAUUUUGGAAUCAUUUCAGACUUACAGAAAAGCUGCAAAGAUAGUACAGAGUGUUCUCACGUGCUCUUUACACAGUUUUCCCUAUUCUAAACACCUAAAAUAACACGGUACAUUUGUCAAAACCAGGAAACCAACACCGAUACGUUACUAUCAACUAAACUCCAGCCUUUAUUUGGAUUUCGCUAGUUUUUUCCACUAAUGUCCUUUUUCUCUUCCAGAAUGUGAUCCAGGACACCACAUGGCAUUUAAUGUCUUUCCAUUUUUAAUUGACCUAAAAAUCUAUCAAUGUUAAAGAGCCCUCCCAUUUUUAUAGGUGGUAAGGGACAGAAACCAAAUGGCUCACUGGCCGCGGGAUGAUCACAGGAUUUAACUCUAAAUCUGGGUGGAAUCUGCUUUUAGAAGAGGCAAUCUGGUUUAGGGGAAGAAGAUGCAGACGUUCGUACGGGGCAGACCUGGGUGUGGGUCCUUCUUUGGGUUUGCUGCUUAGUGGUUAGGAGGUCUGGAAUGACUUAUUUAGUGUCACUGGGCGUUAGUCUUUCAUCUGUAAAAAUGGGACACUAAAACACACCUCACAGAGUAGUAGAGAGGUUUAUAUAUAAUACAGGUGAGGUGUGUGGACCACAAGAAGCGCUCAGCAAAUGGUAACGGCUGUUACCAUAGAUGGUUGUCAGCGGACCCACAACUAGCACUUGGGGAACCACAUGUUGGUCAUCUGCUACCCAGACUAUAACUCUCCCUCGUAGAACAGAUACGUAAUUUUAGUCCACCAGUUACGGCGGGGUGACAGCUCAGAUAUACAGCCUCCGAUUCAAGUGACACUCAGCAGGGCGCGUUCGGGGAGGGCAUUCGCAUCCAGAUCCGCCAUGACUCAGGUAUCCGUUGCUGGCUUCUGUUCGGGCCAGGAGGCUGUCCACCAACACGCACUGACAUGGGCCCGAAGGUAUUUUCCCAGAACGUAAGCAUCUAAUCAAUGACCGUGUAUGUAUUUUCACUGCUGAAAGAAAGCACCGUUGACCCUUUUUAAAGUGCUGGCAAGCGUUUUUGUGACAGGAAGCAGAGGCUCCUGUGUGGAAGACCGCUCCGGCCUUGAUUUCUGGGCUGUGUGCACGCGUGCGCCCGUGCGCCCGUUUCUUCUUCUGCAGGGAUGCACGGGACUUUUGUGUCACUCUCCAAAACAGAACUCCAAAGUAGGUCGGUAAAGGAGCAGUGAAAUAGGUCAGUUGCCGUAAAUCGAAGCAGAAGAAGGGGGUGGGGUUCAGCUCCAGAGAGGGUGCAUGUUUAGACCCUUGAUGCCUGUUUCUCUUAAGGCCUGAAGGACCGCCCUUUAGGGGGUGGGAGGGUGACACUGACACUCUGUUGUCCCAUUGCUUUCUUUCUCCAGGAUGGUCACCUCUAGGAUGGAGACCGUGGUCGCGGGUCAUGGGGACCAAGCCGGCAGAUGGAAGCCUGAUGUCAUCAGGAUGCCUAACACAGGACGGGGGACAACAUUCUUUCGGGGGAUGAUGAAGCGGGCACCAGAAGUAACAGACUGAGUUAAAAGUGGAAGAUUUGAGAAAAUAAAACAUGUCCUGAUACAGACUGCUAGCACUGUGGAAAUCAGUCCUAACUUGAUUUGCAAUGGUGCUUUUGCAACAGCAGGAGCUGGAAUGAGAGCAAAUCGAGCUCGAGGGGCCUGAGACUGUCAUCCAGGGGAGGCACUGUGGUUACCCGGCCCUGGGGUCAUCCAGGGGAAGCACUGUGAGCCUCAUCAGAGACACGUCGACAGCAAACGCCUGCAGGUUCUUAGGCAGCUGGUAAAAAAUGUAUCACAACUUCCGGAAAGUGGCUGUUUAGAUCAGAUCGCUGCCAUCUGAUUCGCAAAUACUCCGAGAAGCUGGUGAAACUCCACACCCCUGGAUGGCGUGCUCUGCUGGUCAUGGCUGUCCUGGUGGCUAUACCGUCCAUCACUGUGGCUUCAAUCACAUGUUCAACCGUCCUUCAUAGAAGGAACUGAGUCAAGCUGUAGAACCAAGCUUGUGCGCUCGCCUCCCCCUCCUGCGCCCUCUCGCCACAUAAAAGGCGUGUCAAUCUGCAGAUGGGAUGACGCAAGCCUGGGGAGCUGUGCUUGGAUAGAUAAAAGCUGUUCUGUAAGCCUGUGUCUGAAGCUCCAUCAACAGGUCGAGCUGCGAGGAGGCUGACCCUUCACAGAAGUCAGAGUGGCGACCUGUAAAAUCCUGGCUUAGGAAAAUCUGCCUCCAUUGCUCAUCGGCUUUACUCAGAGCGGUUUGAACUAAAUGUGAGCUUGGGUAAGGAAUAAGUGCCCUGUUCAUGAGUGCCCAGGCUGUUAAACAAAAAUAGCACACAGGAAACGGUAUUGCAAAGGUCAGUUCUUCUGGAAAGGAAGGGACAAGAAACCAUCUAUCUGAAAUUUUAAUGAGCAGAUCCUGGCCUCUGACCCCGUACCCUGACCUAACAAUCCAAUACUGGAUGCCACGUCGGUUUCCAUUUCCUGUGAACGAGGAGGCAGAGUUCCCAUCCAAAGGCCAACCAUCUGCCGGACGUAAGAUUCUGUCUGCCUAGCUGGCUGUUAUGGAUGGGCACGGAGUCUUUAUGGAUAGAGUGUCAGUCCAGACUCCUUGCUUCACAGACAUGGGAAAUUAAAUGG